GGAGGAGGAUGACUUAUUCAAUCAACUGUUCUACUCCCUCUAAGAGGUGCCUUCCUAAAAGUUUGGAGCUUUUUUGUGUUACAGGUCUUCCUGCAGGCUAUUUGGAGUCCUUGCAGCUGUGAGGGAAUUGCAUGGCAGAUCCAGGCUGGAUAUCACUUAGCUGCACAUCCCAUAGAGGAAGGAAUAACCUUCCUGCACCCCCUGCCCCCAGUGGCACAAGGAUGGCCAGGACUUCAGUUUCUACAAAAAUGUGUGAUGACAAUAAUGAAAAACUGAAGCUGUCCUACCACUGUAGCAAUCUGGUAUUGAAGCUUUGACACCAAUGUUAUCUGUUAGGCACAGAUCAUUUUGAUAGCAGUUAUCACAUGGGUGAAACCAUUGCCUCUCUCCCUCUCACCUGCCUCAUCCCUUUAACAAAAGGUGUCUAUAUGUAUAAAAGUUUGUGCUGAGAAAGUCCUGCUUAGUCAUGAUGUGAGUAAUGACUUCCAGAUCUGAGUGUGGAGGGACUCUAUGCUUGGAACAAGGGCUUGCCUUACUGGUAUUUCUCUUCAGAAUAUGUAGCAGAUUUCUGAUAUAUAGAUCUGUGAUAGCAUGCAAUUAAAUUUAUCAGGUUCCAAAAUUCAGAGAAAAUCUAAUACUUCCACAACUUUCAGUAGCUCCACAAGAAUGUUUGACAGAAUUUGCAAUGCUUAGUAUAGCAAUGAAUAUCAGUCUGUGGAGGGCAUUUUGAAGAGCAGAGUGCUACCAUAGACAACAGCAAGGUGAGCUUGCUACCAAAGCACUGGGGCAGUGCAGAGAGUAUUACUCUUUGCAAAACACUCCACAGGCCAACAGAACACAGCCAAGCAGACAAAUAGUUGUGUUUCUCUCCUUUGUAUUAAGCUGUGUAGUACCCCUCAGAAGGCCCUGCAGCAAAGGAAGAUUGAUGCAUGUAACAGUGAAUUUCUUCCUGCUCCUUGAGGAUG